rnacentral:rRNA from 1 species
GUGGCGGACGGGUGAGUAAUGCGUGAGCAACCUGCCCUUCAGAGGGGGACAACAGUUGGAAACGACUGCUAAUACCGCAUAAUGUAUUCGGAAGGCAUCUUCUGAAUACCAAAGGAGAAAUCCGCUGAGGGAUGGGCUCACGUCUGAUUAGUUAGUUGGUGAGGUAACGGCUCACCAAGACUGCGAUCAGUAGCCGGACUGAGAGGUUGAACGGCCACAUUGGGACUGAGAUACGGCCCAGACUCCUACGGGAGGCAGCAGUGGGGAAUAUUGGGCAAUGGGCGAAAGCCUGACCCAGCAACGCCGCGUGAAGGAAGAAGGCCUUCGGGUUGUAAACUUCUUUUAAGAGGGACGAAGAAGUGACGGUACCUCUUGAAUAAGCCACGGCUAACUACGUGCCAGCAGCCGCGGUAAUACGUAGGUGGCGAGCGUUAUCCGGAUUUACUGGGUGUAAAGGGCGCGUAGGCGGGAAUGCAAGUCAGAUGUGAAAUCCAGGGGCUUAACCCUUGAACUGCAUUUGAAACUGUAUUUCUUGAGUGUCGGAGAGGUUGACGGAAUUCCUAGUGUAGCGGUGAAAUGCGUAGAUAUUAGGAGGAACACCAGUGGCGAA